UACGUAGGGUGCGAGCGUUGUCCGGAAUUACUGGGCGUAAAGGGCUCGUAGGCGGCCAACUAAGUCGGAUGUGAAAUCCCCAGGCUUAACCUGGGAACUGCAUCCGAUACUGGAUGGCUUGAAUUCGGGAGAGGGAUGCAGAAUUCCAGGUGUAGCGGUGAAAUGCGUAGAUAUCUGGAGGAAUACCGGUGGCGAAGGCGGCAUCCUGGACCGACAUUGACGCUGAGGAGCGAAAGCUAGGGGAGCAAACGGG
rnacentral:rRNA from 1 species